CCUACGGGGGGCAGCAGUGGGGAAUAUUGGACAAUGGGGGAAACCCUGAUCCAGCGACGCCGCGUGAGUGAAGAAGUAUUUCGGUACGUAAAGCUCUAUCAGCAGGAAAGAAAAUGACGGUACCUGACUAAGAAGCCCCGGCUAACUACGUGCCAGCAGCCGCGGUAAUACGUAGGGGGCAAGCGUUAUCCGGAUGUACUGGGUGUAAAGGGAGCGUAGACGGCAGCGCAAGUCGGGAGUGAAAUGCCGGGGCUCAACCCCGGAACUGCUCUGGAAACUGUGAAGCUGGAGUGCAGGAGAGGUAAGCGGAAUUCCUGGUGUAGCGGUGAAAUGCGUAGAUAUCAGGAGGAACACCGGCGGCGAAGGCGGAUUACUGGACUGUAACUGACGUUGAGGCUCGAAGGCGUGGGGAGCAAACAGGAUUAGAUACCCUUGUAGUC
rnacentral:rRNA from 1 species